AUGAGUUCGAUUGGAAGGGGUGCUGGUUGUGCAAAUGUGGCAGUUGAUGCUGCUGCGGUAGCUUUGGCCAAGGUGUCACUUGUUAAUGGCGAAGGCAGUGAUGGGGAUGCAGGUAUUUCAUCGCCGGAUGUUAACGAUUUCAUCAUGCAAUCUUGCCGUGACAUCAAUGCCCAACAUGUUGCGCCUAAUUCCCCACUAACGCACAACAUGGCUGCGCCUCCCAAUGUUGAACCAUGUAGAGCUUCUGUUGAUGCUCAUGAGAGGAAGAAGCGGUUGAGGCUCCCCAAAGGUGUAGUUUAUUCCUCAAAUGUCACCAGCAAUUCUCAUGUUCCAGAUGCAUGUGUUGGAGUCCGUGUGCCAGUUGGCACAUCACUGGAUGUCUUUGCUAGUCUCAAUGUAACUGCAAGCGUGGGUUCGGUGAGUGAAGGCGGCCCUGCAGUAUGUUCGAGCCAAGGGAAGCGCAGGGUAGUUGUUGCAAAGAUUAAGCAUGGACUUCGUGGCACCCAUCCCACCAGUGGUGUAGCCACUAAAAUUGUUAAUCCAUCUCCGCGUCGGAGUCCACGCAUUGCCAGUGGUCCAGUGGUUGAUCGUGUCUAUCCGAAUGUUAAGCUUGAUGGAAAGCAUGUUUCUUUCGAGUGUUCAAAGGCUGGAGGUGGUUGUAGAGGACCUUCUGUUGAUGGCACUGGGCUCAACGGGAAUAAUGUUGUUUCUAGGAAGCAUCGGCCAAGGUUGUUGGGAGUGGACCAAAGAAGAAGGCGACAAAGUCCACAACGUCAAACGCUGGUGCUUGUGAUAGGAUCAAUGUAA
rnacentral:rRNA from 1 species